CCUACGGGAGGCAGCAGUGGGGAAUUUUGGACAAUGGGCGCAAGCCUGAUCCAGCUAUUCCGCGUGUGGGAAGACGGCCUUCGGGUUGUAAACCACUUUUGUAGAGAACGAAAAGUCUGUUGAUAAUACCGAUAGAUGAUGACGGUACUCAAAGAAUAAGCACCGGCUAACUACGGGCCAGCAGUCGCGGUAAGACGUAGGGUGCGAGCGUUAAUCGGAAUUACUGGGCGUAAAGGGUGUGCAGGCGGGUUUGCAAGUUGGAUGUGAAAGCCGCGGGCUUAACCUGCGAAAGUCAUACAUGACUGCAAGACUAGAGUGCGUCAGAGGGAGGUGGAAUUCCAGGUGUAGCAGUGAAAUGCGUAGAUAUUUGGAAGAACACCGAUGGCGAAGGCAGCCCCCUGGGACGCAACUGACGCUCAUACACGAAAGCGUGGGGAGCAAACAGGAUUAGAUACCCUAGUAGUC
rnacentral:rRNA from 1 species